ACCAAGUUAAGAAAAGAAAAAUUUGCAGCACUUUUUUUUUAUAAGAAAAUGUGAUCGAAAGUGUAUGCAAAUAAGUAACUUUUAUAAACCUCAAAAUAAUCUUAAAAUCUGAAGUUUUACAGUUUUACUUUAACUUGAAAUUUGCAUUGCCACGACACCUCACGACAAUUGCCACGACACCUCGCGAUAAUUGCCACGACACCUCACGACAAUUGCCACGACAUCAUCUCCUUAACUUUGAUUUAUAGCACUCAUUUGCCGUUUUAUAAAGUCUUUUGUUUAUUAAAUAGUGGUAAAACUUUUAUCGAACAAUACGCCUUAAUUUUAGAAGUGGUUAGCUUGCAGCAUUUUUGAACUGAUUUGCAGCAUUUUUGAACUAUAUCCUUGCGCUUGCACAAUUUUUUUGAUUUUUAUAUACAGAAUAAAAAGUUUUUGAAGUUUUAUAGAUGUUAUAUAUAUAUAUAUAGUAUUUAAAACGAUAUUGCUAUAACAGACGAAAUGAAGAGAAUUUUUAAAAAAGCAUAAAAUUUUUAAAUUAUUAAAAAACGGGGAGAAUGUUGCGCAUAUGUCAAGAUAGAGAUACAGUGAUUUCACGGCCAACUUGAUCAGUUGUUUUGUAACUCAAGCUUCAAUAUUUUUGUAUUUUUGGACAUCCGAAGAAACUUAGGACUUGGGACCAUCAGAACCUUAAUUUGUUGCCCUAACAAAGUUUCUACAUAUACACCAAAUUGUCCAGAAGCGCAAGAGAACUCCUGCAUUAUAUCUACGCUGAAGGCUCCCUGGGAAUACGGAAAAUACAGAGUUUGUAGCAUACAAUGCGUUUUACGAAAAGAAGUUGAGGAUCUAAUAAUGAAAUAUAAAAAGCUGCAAUCCCUUAAAAACAGAUUAACACCAGGAACAAUCAAGGAUAGAGAUAUCUUUUUAAUAGAAUCUAAAAAGGUAUUUUGGUUAGAACAUGACAUAAAAAUUAUGAUUGAUGAAUAACAAUGGAUAAAAAAAGAACAAAAUAAACUUAAUGUAUAGACAUUAUGCUUUAGAAAGUGAAUAAGGAAAAAAGACAAGGUUACCUAGGUGAUUUUGAUAUUGAUUGGUGAUAUUGAUAUUGAUAUUUAUUGAUUGGAAAAA
rnacentral:misc_RNA from 1 species